rnacentral:tRNA from 1 species
GGGGUAUUAGCUCAGCUGGCUAGAGCGCUUGCAUGGCAUGCAAGAGGUCAUCGGUUCGAACCCGAUAUGCUCCA